CCUCGAGUCACAUUAAAAACAAAUUAAUAAACUUCAAAAUCUAUUUUAAUUACAACACAGCAAAACCUAAAUAUCUUCCCCGCGUAUGUGCUUCAAGUAAAAACAUCAAGACAUACAUCAUAUGUUCUUUGGUACCUAAAAUGUUGGUUGUAAGGGUUAGUCUUCAAUAUCCAUAAAAUAAAAUCAAUAAUAAAUUACAACAUCAAAUAAGAAUAUACAACCAUCAUCAUGAAAUUUUGCCCUGUUUGACAUAUAAUAAUGAAUCGCCACAUUUGACACUUAAAAAUCCAUUGAAUUGCCCCAUUUGACACUUAAAAAUCCAUUGAAUCGCCUCAUUUGGCACCUAGAACACAACUGAGGUCUUAGGGUGUAGAGUUUUAGUUCCUGGUUGUUUACGAGUGUUUUUGGUAAACAAAAGUGCCAGUUUUAAAAGACUACGUUCUUG
rnacentral:lncRNA from 1 species